UUGCAGGGUGUUGUCAAACCAAUCCUUUAUGUUGGCGCUGUCUCCAAUGCUAUUCAAAUUGGUAUAAAUGCAUUGAUGGUGUAUGUCCUCAAAUGGGGUUUCAGAGGGAUUGCCAUCUGCUGGUCAUUUACCAAUGUGAUCAUAUUUUUGUUGACAUUUGCUUACAUGAGGGUUUUUAAGUUGGAUGAAAAAACAUGGCCAGGCUGGACCACAGAAAGUCUGUUAGACUGGGGACAGUUUAUCAAGCUUGCUGUGGCUGGAAUGGUGAUGAUUUGGAUUGAGUGGUGGAG
rnacentral:misc_RNA from 1 species